ACACGCAUGAAAGUCAAGCUGAAAGACUUUACUCAAUGAUGUAAGUGGUGGUGCAUGGUCGUUCUUAGUUCGUGGAUUGAUUUGUCUGGUCGAUUCCGAUAACGAGCGAGACCCCGGUGUUCCUAAUAGGGGCGGCAGCCCGUCCGGUCGCAAGGCCGGUCAGCUACCGCCUGAGAUGUACUUCUUAGACACAUCAAGGCCGAUAAGGUCUUUGAAAUGGGUUAAUAACAGGUCAGUCAUGCCCUUAGAUGUUCUGGGCCGCACGCGCGUUACAAUGGCACGUAUAAACAGUGCUAUCACAGGCGUUUCCCGGGCCUAACGGUCCGGGUAACCCUUAAUCCCUGCUUUGACUGGGAUAGAUCCUUGCAAUUAUUGGUCUCUAACGAGGAAUUUUUAGUAAGCGCAGGUCAUUAACCUGUGCUGA
rnacentral:rRNA from 1 species